UACGUAGGGGGCGAGCGUUGUCCGGAUUUAUUGGGCGUAAAGAGCUCGUAGGCGGUUUGGUAAGUUGGAUGUGAAAUCUCCAGGCUCAACUUGGAGGGGUCAUUCGAUACUGCCAUGACUAGAGUUCGGUAGGGGAGUGUGGAAUUCCUGGUGGAGCGGUGAAAUGCGCAGAUAUCAGGAGGAACACCUAUGGCGAAGGCAGCUCGCUGGGACGUUACUGACGCUGAGACGCGAAAGCGUGGGGAGCAAACAGG
rnacentral:rRNA from 1 species